rnacentral:lncRNA from 1 species
AACAGAGGCAAAGGGAGAGGGAACUGGAAGAGAAAGAAAAGCAAUGGAAAGAAACUAUCUUGGGCCCCUCCAGGCCGGUGGAGCCUCCCCCUGCUUCUAACCCCACUGUGGCGGCAGCUGCUGCCACCCCUGCUGCUGCUGCUGCCGCCGCCACUGCACCUGCUGCUGCCGCCGACACUGCACCUGCUGCUGCCGCCACUCCAAACCCUUUCAGGUAUGUGCCCAGGUUCCUCAGAGAGAGGACUGAAGGCUCAGGAGCCGCACCUCCACCAAAACCCGAACGUCGGAAGUAUGUGCCCAGGUUCCUCAGAGAGAGGACUGAAGGCUCAGG